GAUGAACGCUGGCUACAGGCUUAACACAUGCAAGUCGAGGGGAAACGACAGGGAAGCUUGCUUCCUUGGGCGUCGACCGGCGCACGGGUGAGUAACGCGUAUCCAACCUGCCUCUGACUGAGGGAUAACCCGUCGAAAGUCGGCCUAAUACCUCAUGGCAUCGUCUGCGGGCAUCCAACGACGAUUAAAGAUUUCAUCGGUCAGGGAUGGGGAUGCGUCUGAUUAGCUUGUUGGCGGGGUAACGGCCCACCAAGGCUACGAUCAGUAGGGGUUCUGAGAGGAAGGUCCCCCACAUUGGAACUGAGACACGGUCCAAACUCCUACGGGAGGCAGCAGUGAGGAAUAUUGGUCAAUGGGCGAGAGCCUGAACCAGCCAAGUAGCGUGCAGGAUGACGGCCCUAUGGGUUGUAAACUGCUUUUAUGCGGGGAUAAAGUGAGGGACGUGUCCUUCAUUGCAGGUACCGC
rnacentral:rRNA from 1 species